rnacentral:rRNA from 1 species
GCCUACGGGGGGCAGCAGUGAGGAAUAUUGGUCAAUGGUCGGGAGACUGAACCAGCCAAGCCGCGUGAGGGAUGAAGGUACAGAGUAUCGUAAACCUCUUUUGUCAGGGAACAAAGGCGGGGACGUGUCCCCGGAUGAGUGUACCUGAAGAAAAAGCAUCGGCUAGCUCCGUGCCAGCAGCCGCGGUAAUACGGAGGAUGCGAGCGUUAUCCGGAUUUAUUGGGUUUAAAGGGUGCGCAGGCGGUCUGUUAAGUCAGCGGUCAAAGCCCGGGGCUCAACCCCGGCCCGCCGUUGAAACUGGCAGU